rnacentral:rRNA from 1 species
AGAGUUUGAUCAUGGCUCAGAUUGAACGCUGGCGGCAUGCUUUACACAUGCAAGUCGAGCGGCAGCGCGGGGGCAACCCUGGCGGCGAGCGGCGAACGGGUGAGUAAUGCAUCGGAACGUGUCCCGUAGUGGGGGAUAACCCGGCGAAAGCCGGACUAAUACCGCAUAUGCUCUACGGAGGAAAGCGGGGGAUUCGCAAGAACCUCGCGCUAUGGGAGCGGCCGAUGUCCGAUUAGCUUGUUGGUGGGGUAAUGGCUUACCAAGGCGACGAUCGGUAGCUGGUCUGAGAGGAUGAUCAGCCACACUGGGACUGAGACACGGCCCAGACUCCUACGGGAGGCAGCAGUGGGGAAUUUUGGACAAUGGGGGCAACCCUGAUCCAGCCAUGCCGCGUGCGGGAAGAAGGCCUUCGGGUUGUAAACCGCUUUUGUCCGGAAAGAAAAGGCACCCCCUAAUACGGGGUGUUCUUGACGGUACCGGAAGAAUAAGCACCGGCUAACUACGUGCCAGCAGCCGCGGUA